rnacentral:rRNA from 1 species
UUCAGAGAUGAGAAUGUGCCUUCGGGAACCGUGAGACAGGUGCUGCAUGGCUGUCGUCAGCUCGUGUUGUGAAAUGUUGGGUUAAGUCCCGCAACGAGCGCAACCCUUAUCCUUUGUUGCCAGCGGUCCGGCCGGGAACUCAAAGGAGACUGCCAGUGAUAAACUGGAGGAAGGUGGGGAUGACGUCAAGUCAUCAUGGCCCUUACGACCAGGGCUACACACGUGCUACAAUGGCGCAUACAAAGAGAAGCGACCUCGCGAGAGCAA